rnacentral:misc_RNA from 1 species
AAGUCGUAACAAGGUCUCCGUAGGUGAACCUGCGGAGGGAUCAUUAAACGUAUCCAACGUUUAACUCUUUGUGAAUUCUGUUUCAAAAACACUUUUGUGAGUGGUGACAUUCGAGAUAGUGUGAGUUCUGCAGGUGAGAAUCUUCACGGAUUCUCUGAGUUCUACUAUCGACGUCACGUGUCACAAAGGCUAAAUCCUGUGGGUGUUUUUUUCUUACUUUUAACGCUAUUGUAACAACUUGAUGAAACUUGUGGAUUGGUUUCGCAAUCCACGUUAAACUAAAAAAAUGAAACGUUAAGCACAACUCUUAACAACGGAUAUCUAGGCUCUC